CAUCAUCUCCCUCCCAUCCUCCCAUCCUCUCAUCCUCCCUCCCUCCCUCCCUCCCUCCCUCCAUCUAUCCCGAUCCGUGCUGGACGAGGGGAGGAAAGUGGAAAGUCAGCCAUUCGCGCCCAGCUCCGGACUCGGUCCCUCGCAUCGCGGAUCUCUCCCGUCCCGUCUCCCGUCUCCCGUCUCACGUCCAGUCUCCCGUCCCGCCUGGCGGAGGUCCGCGCCGGACGCGGUUCGAACAGUGCAUUUACCCAAAGCCUCUUUGGCUUCAGAGGCGCUCAGUGAGGAUUUUAGCGGCUCUUCCCGUGGCCCUGUGCACCUCCACGAACGAAGGACCAACUGGGACUACAGCGUGAAACCUUCUAGCAGGUGGAAAACAAAGGACAUCCUCAUCCUCCACGUUCGGUGUCUGAACUUGAACAUUUGGAAGACAGGAGGGAAAAUAGCAGCUUGCUGAAACCCCGCGGGACAGGGGAAGAGUCAACUGACUCCUGCUCCCUCACUCAAGUUUGGAUCUACAUUUUGGCUCAUCCAGUCUUUUCUGGGGAAUAAAGUGUUGGAUAGACUAUGAGGAAAAACUGUG
rnacentral:lncRNA from 1 species